rnacentral:rRNA from 3 species
GACGCACAGUUUAUACCGUAGCUUGCUACACCAUAGACUGUGAGUUGCGAACGGGUGAGUAACGCGUAGGUAACCUGCCUAUUAGAGGGGGAUAACUAUUGGAAACGAUAGCUAAUACCGCAUAACAGUAUGUAACACAUGUUAGAUGCUUGAAAGAUGCAAUUGCAUCGCUAGUAGAUGGACCUGCGUUGUAUUAGCUAGUAGGUAGGGUAAUGGCCUACCUAGGCGACGAUACAUAGCCGACCUGAGAGGGUGAUCGGCCACACUGGGACUGAGACACGGCCCAGACUCCUACGGGAGGCAGCAGUAGGGAAUCUUCGGCAAUGGGGGGAACCCUGACCGAGCAACGCCGCGUGAGUGAAGAAGGUUUUCGGAUCGUAAAGCUCUGUUGUUAAGGAAGAACGAGUGUGAGAAUGGAAAGUUCAUACUGUGACGGUACUUAACCAGAAAGGGACGGCUAACUACGUGCCAGCAGCCGCGGUAAUACGUAGGUCCCGAGCGUUGUCCGGAUUUAUUGGGCGUAAAGCGAGCGCAGGCGGUUAGAAAAGUCUGAAGUGAAAGGCAGUGGCUCAACCAUUGUAGGCUUUGGAAACUGUUUAACUUGAGUGCAGAAGGGGAGAGUGGAAUUCCAUGUGUAGCGGUGAAAUGCGUAGAUAUAUGGAGGAACACCGGUGGCGAAAGCGGCUCUCUGGUCUGUAACUGACGCUGAGGCUCGAAAGCGUGGGGAGCGAACAGGAUUAGAUACCCUGGUAGUC